UACGUAGGGCGCAAGCGUUGUCCGGAAUUAUUGGGCGUAAAGAGCUCGUAGGCGGCUUGUCACGUCGGGUGUGAAAGCCCGGGGCUUAACCCCCGGGUCUGCAUUCGACUACGGGCAGGCGUAGAGUGUGGUAGGGGGAGAGUCGGAAUUCCUGGUGUAGCGGUGAAAUGCGCAGAUAUCAGGAGGAACACCGGUGGCGAAGGCGGAUCUCUGGGCCGAUUACUGACGCUGAGGAGCGAAAGCGUGGGGAGCGAACAGG
rnacentral:rRNA from 1 species